rnacentral:rRNA from 1 species
UUGUAAAGUACUUUCAGCAGUGAGGAAGGUGGAUAUGUUAAUAGCAUAUUCAUUUGACGUUAGCUGCAGAAGAAAGCACCGGCUAACUCCGUGCCAGCAGCCGCGGUAAUACGGAGGGUGCGAGCGUUAAUCGGAAUUACUGGGCGUAAAGCGCAUGCAGGUGGUUUGUUAAGUCAGAUGUGAAAGACCCGGGGCUCAACCUCGGAAUUGCAUUUGAAACUGGCAAACUAGAGUACUGUAGAGGGGGGUAGGAAUUUCAGGUGUAGCGGUGAAAUGCGUAGAGAUCUGAAGGAAUACCGGUGGCGAAGGCGGCCCCCUGGACAGAUACUGACACUCAGAUGCGAAAGCGUGGGGAGCAAACAGGAUUAGAUACCCUGGUAG